rnacentral:rRNA from 1 species
GAUGAACGCUAGCGACAGGCUUAACACAUGCAAGUCGAGGGGUAGCAGGGGGUAGCAAUACUUUGCUGACGACCGGCGCACGGGUGAGUAACACGUAUGCAACUUACCUAUCAGAGGGGGAUAACCCGGCGAAAGUCGGACUAAUACCGCAUAAAACAGGGGUCCCGCAUGGGAAUAUUUGUUAAAGAUUUAUUGCUGAUAGAUAGGCAUGCGUUCCAUUAGGCAGUUGGCGGGGUAACGGCCCACCAAAUCGACGAUGGAUAGGGGUUCUGAGAGGAGGGUCCCCCACAUUGGUACUGAGACACGGACCAAACUCCUACGGGAGGCAGCAGUGAGGAAUAUUGGUCAAUGGGCGCGAGCCUGAACCAGCCAAGUCGCGUGAAGGAUGAAGGUUCUAUGGAUUGUAAACUUCUUUUAUUGGGGAAUAAAGUGCAGGACGUGUCCUGUUUUGUAUGUACCCAACGAAUAAGCAUCGGCUAACUCCGUGCCAGCCGCCGCGGUAA